CAUCUUCUUCUUGUUGGUUUCUUCUUCCUUCAUGGUCGUUGUAUCCAACAAACAACAAGAGGAAUAGGUGAUGUGAGCCUGAGAUGCGCUAUAACUUAUGUACCAUGCUACUGUAGUUACUUUUCCAGCAUGUAUGUAUGGCCCUGUAAAUCUUUGAAUGCUGUUCCUGACAUGGAAAUUUUUAUUUUACGUGGGCGCUUUAAAGGGUUGCCAAUCCUGUUUGACAGAUUGUGAAUAUAGCAGCAAUUGCAUUGAAACGGAAACAAUCUGGAGUUUGCCUCUGAAAUCAUCUUAGAAUGGCUCAGCCAGUUACAGCUUGGCUGUAAAAGCUUGUGCCCGCGUGUUGCCAACUUACCAUUAGUAGCUGCUUCCCAUAUGUGAACACUUACCUUCUGCAAUCUGAAAUUAAUCCUUGUACAUUGUGUAGCACGCAAAAGAAUCUGGUUAGAGCACAACAGGCGCGUAACCGCGCGACGCGCUAAACUAUUUUUAGUGCCGAAAUAGCCUUUUUUUGCUCGUAGCAGGAGCAGGCGCCGCAAAAUAUGGCGCGGCGCUAUAGCUCCAGCAGGCGCGCUAAAUUUACACAGCGCGCCCCUAGCACAAACACCAUUUCGCACUCAAAAUAGAACCAAGAAGAUCGAACACACACAAAAUAAAUCAACAAUAAAUAGUUCAAUUUAUUACAACUCAAACAAAUAGUUUAUCUUUCAGCACAACAAAUAGUUCACCAAAUUCAUCUACAAAAUAUAAAGUUGAAGCAAUACAUACCUUGCAAGCGUUUUGUCAAACACCUUGUGGGCGUCGAGCUGCAAAUGGCCGUCGGGCGCUGUUCGUCGAAGGAAUGGUGUGCUGGAGGGGCGGCGGCGAGGAGAGGAGGUGGAGAAAGCAGCAGCGGCACGCGGGGAUAGGCGAGGGAAGCGCCAACGGGUCACCGGAGCGAAUGGGGAAGGUGCGGGCGGCGGCGAGGAGAGGAGGUGGAGGAAGUAGCGGCGGCGUGCGGGGAUAGGCAAGGGAAGCGCCGACGGGUCACCGAAGCGAAUGGGGAAGGUGCCGGCGGCGGCGCCAGCGCCUGGAGGUCUCAGAUCUGGCGAUUGGUGAAGUCGUGCGUGAAUCGUCGCUGUCCAGCGCGCGGGGGCGGGCGCAGCAAAUACACCGCGCGCGGUGCCGUUUCCUUCCGCGCCCGCGAUUAUUGCGCGGCUGCUAGAGCGCCCGUUUCGGCUACGCGCGCGCAAAAGAGCGGCUUUUUUCAGCGCGCGACUAAGAUAACGUACCUGUGACGCCCAAAUCUCCUACGGUCCGAACAUUUUUAGGCCACCAACACAGCCAUUCAAAUUGGGCCUGAUCGAUCCGGGCAUUGAAAUCCCCCAACCCCAAAUCGGGGAGGGAGUCCAGAUGUCCGCCAUUUCAGACUUGACACCCUGGUACCGUCCAAAACCCUGCACAGCAUACUGCUCCGCCUACCUGCAUUGAUNNN
rnacentral:lncRNA from 1 species